rnacentral:lncRNA from 1 species
ACAGGAAUUUCUUAUACCUAGUGGAAUAAAAGAAUAGAGGAAGAAUGUAUUUUCAAAAAACAUGAUAGGAUUUUUAGAAUCACUAAUUUUUCCAAGAAUUGCUCAAAGUGAAGGGCAAUAUCUUAUAAAGGAAGGCUCUAAUCAUGAUCCUCUAUAUGUUAUAUGUAGAUCUUUGUAGGACUGUGUGGUGGAAACUUUAAGAUUUCAUAACUUCUAGGUAUUGUAGGGGGG